rnacentral:lncRNA from 1 species
CUGAUUGUUUUUGGGUUGAUUAGGAAUGAUAGACAGGAGUGAAGUUUAUGAGAUUCCUUUGAAGAACCACUCAUUAAAUAGGGAAGAGGUUUAUAUUGAUUACAUUGAAAGAAAUUUGGAAAUGAGGAUUAAAAAACAUAAACAUGACCUCAGAUACAAAAAACUUUUGACAGCUCUUAGCCAGAGAUCACUGCAGUAUGAUAUAGAAGUAUGUUGGAGAAAUGUGAAAAUUAUUCUGCUCAUUGAUAAGAGCUGGGACAGAAAUGCUAUUGAGGCAUUAAAAAUCCUUAGAAAGAAAGAACGAAAAGUUAUGUAAUAAACUUUAUAGAACCAGAAACAAUCCUCAGAUAGUUGUUAAAGGAAGUAACAAAGCUGAUUAAAGCAUAUGCUAUAGUCAAUUUCGAUACUCUUGAAUGGGAGCAAUGGUUUUUAUAGCUAUAAUUUUUUAAUAUUUGUGGGUAAUUUUAUGUAUUUUAGAUUCAUG